rnacentral:rRNA from 1 species
CACGUAGGGGGCAAGCGUUGUCCGGAUUUAUUGGGCGUAAAGAGCUCGUAGGCGGUUCGGCAAGUCGGGUGUGAAACCCCCAGGCUCAACCUGGGGACGCCACCCGAUACUGCUGUGACUGGAGUCCGGUAGGGGAGCGUGGAAUUCCUGGUGUAGCGGUGAAAUGCGCAGAUAUCAGGAGGAACACCAGCGGCGAAGGCGGCGCUCUGGGCCGGUACUGACGCUGAGGAGCGAAAGCGUGGGUAGCAAACAGG